CUGGAGCACGCCCACGUUUCAUCGAGGACAACGAAACUGUUCUUCUCCCUGUGCAAGAAAUUCAAGUCCGUUUCUCACGAAGAGAAGGUUCCCAGCUUACCCUAUCAAUAGUUUGAACAAUUGGAGAAAAAUAAGCAAACCACGAGGCUGAUUGGGAUGGAUCAGCAAGGAGUUUCUAUGGCAUGGUCAACGCUCUGAAAGGAGAUCAGGGCCGCGGCGCCUCUCUUCUUGGGGCUGGCAUGUGCGAACCCACCACUCGCCAUGUGUGACUCCAUGUGCAUGAUUCAUUCCAGAGCAGUUUUAGUCCUCAUAAAAUAUUCAUUUUGGUUGU
rnacentral:lncRNA from 1 species